AAAAAAGGUAAGCUACUAAGAGCGAAUGGUGGAUGCCUUGACUGGUAAAGGCGAUGAAGGACGUACUAGACUGCGAUAAGCUACGGGGAGCUGUCAAGAAGCUUUGAUCCGUAGAUUUCCGAAUGGGGCAACCCAAUGUAUAGAGAUAUACAUUACCUAUAUAGGAGCGAACGAGGGGAAUUGAAACAUCUUAGUACCCUCAGGAAAAGAAAUCAAUAGAGAUUGCGUCAGUAGCGGCGAGCGAAAGCGCAAGAGGGCAAACCCAGUGCUUGCACUGGGGGUUGUAGGACUGCAAUGUGCAAGAGGUAAGUUUAGCAGAACAUUCUGGAAAGUAUAACCAUAGAGGGUGAUAGUCCCGUAUGCGAAAAACAAACCUUAGCUAGCAGUAUCCUGAGUAGGGCGGGACACGAGGAAUCCUGUCUGAAUCCGGGUCGACCACGAUCCAACCCUAAAUACUAAUACCAGAUCGAUAGUGCACAAGUACCGUGAGGGAAAGGUGAAAAGAACUGAGGUGAUCAGAGUGAAAUAGAACCUGAAACCAUUUGCUUACAAUCAUUCAGAGCCCUAUGUAGCAAUACAGGGUGAUGGACUGCCUUUUGCAUAAUGAGCCUGCGAGUUGUGGUGUCUGGCAAGGUUAAGCAAACGCGAAGCCGUAGCGAAAGCGAGUCUGAAUAGGGCGCUUAGUCAGAUGCUGCAGACCCGAAACGAAGUGAUCUAUCCAUGAGCAAGUUGAAGCUAGUGUAAGAACUAGUGGAGGACUGAACCCAUAGGCGUUGAAAAGCCCCGGGAUGACUUGUGGAUAGGGGUGAAAGGCCAAUCAAACUUCGUGAUAGCUGGUUCUCUCCGAAAUAUAUUUAGGUAUAGCGUUGUGUCGUAAUAUAAGGGGGUAGAGCACUGAAUGGGCUAGGGCAUACACCAAUGUACCAAACCCUAUCAAACUCCGAAUACCUUAUAUGUAAUCACAGCAGUCAGGCGGCGAGUGAUAAAAUCCGUCGUCAAGAGGGAAACAACCCAGACUACCAGCUAAGGUCCCUAAAUCUUACUUAAGUGGAAAACGAUGUGAAGUUACUUAAACAACCAGGAGGUUGGCUUAGAAGCAGCCAUCCUUUAAAGAAAGCGUAAUAGCUCACUGGUCUAGUGAUUUUGCGCGGAAAAUAUAACGGGGCUAAAGUAAGUACCGAAGCUGUAGACUUGCACACAACUUAGAUUAUUUAAGUUUAGAAUAUGAGAAACUAAGUUAUAUGUUUAGUUAUAUUUUUGCUGAUUUUUAUAGAGUAAAGAUAGAAAUAAAACUUAGUAAAAUCAGUAAAAAUAUUCUUAGACUAAAGUUAAGUAGUUUAAGUUGUGUGCAAGUGGUAGGAGAGCGUUCUAUUUGCGUCGAAGGUAUACCGGUAAGGAGUGCUGGAGCGAAUAGAAGUGAGCAUGCAGGCAUGAGUAGCGAUAAUUAAUGUGAGAAUCAUUAACGCCGUAAACCCAAGGUUUCCUACGCGAUGCUCGUCAUCGUAGGGUUAGUCGGGUCCUAAGUCGAGUCCGAAAGGGGUAGACGAUGGCAAAUUGGUUAAUAUUCCAAUACCAACAUUAGUGUGCGAUGGAAGGACGCUUAGGGCUAAGGGGGCUAGCGGAUGGAAGUGCUAGUCUAAGGUCGUAGGAGGUUAUACAGGCAAAUCCGUAUAACAAUACUCCGAGAACUGAAAGGCUUUUUGAAGUCUUCGGAUGGAUAGAAGAACCCCUGAUGCCGUCGAGCCAAGAAAAGUUUCUAAGUUUAGCUAAUGUUGCCCGUACCGUAAACCGACACAGGUGGGUGGGAUGAGUAUUCUAAGGCGCGUGGAAGAACUCUCUUUAAGGAACUCUGCAAAAUAGCACCGUAUCUUCGGUAUAAGGUGUGGUUAGCUUUGUAUUAGGAUUUACUCCGAAAGCAAGGAAACUUACAACAAAGAGUCCCUCCCGACUGUUUACCAAAAACACAGCACUCUGCUAACUCGUAAGAGGAUGUAUAGGGUGUGACGCCUGCCCGGUGCUCGAAGGUUAAUUGAUGGGGUUAGCAUUAGCGAAGCUCUUGAUCGAAGCCCGAGUAAACGGCGGCCGUAACUAUAACGGUCCUAAGGUAGCGAAAUUCCUUGUCGGUUAAAUACCGACCUGCAUGAAUGGCGUAACGAGAUGGGAGCUGUCUCAAAGAGGGAUCCAGUGAAAUUGUAGUGGAGGUGAAAAUUCCUCCUACCCGCGGCAAGACGGAAAGACCCCGUGGACCUUUACUACAGCUUGACACUGCUACUUGGAUAAGAAUGUGCAGGAUAGGUGGGAGGCUUUGAGUAUAUGACGCCAGUUGUAUAUGAGCCAUUGUUGAGAUACCACUCUUUCUUAUUUGGGUAGCUAACCAGCUUGAGUUAUCCUCAAGUGGGACAAUGUCUGGUGGGUAGUUUGACUGGGGCGGUCGCCUCCCAAAUAAUAACGGAGGCUUACAAAGGUUGGCUCAGAACGGUUGGAAAUCGUUCGUAGAGUAUAAAGGUAUAAGCCAGCUUAACUGCAAGACAUACAAGUCAAGCAGAGACGAAAGUCGGUCUUAGUGAUCCGGUGGUUCUGUGUGGAAGGGCCAUCGCUCAAAGGAUAAAAGGUACCCCGGGGAUAACAGGCUGAUCUCCCCCAAGAGCUCACAUCGACGGGGAGGUUUGGCACCUCGAUGUCGGCUCAUCGCAUCCUGGGGCUGGAGCAGGUCCCAAGGGUAUGGCUGUUCGCCAUUUAAAGCGGUACGCGAGCUGGGUUCAGAACGUCGUGAGACAGUUCGGUCCCUAUCUGCCGUGGGCGUAAGAAGAUUGAAGAGAUUUGACCCUAGUACGAGAGGACCGGGUUGAACAAACCACUGGUGUAGCUGUUGUUCUGCCAAGAGCAUCGCAGCGUAGCUAAGUUUGGAAAGGAUAAACGCUGAAAGCAUCUAAGCGUGAAGCCAACUCUAAGAUGAAUCUUCUCUAAGCUCUCUAGAAGACUACUAGUUUGAUAGGCUGGGUGUGUAAUGGAUGAAAGUCCUUUAGCUGACCAGUACUAAUAGAGCGUUUGGCUUAUCUUUAAUAAAGCAU
rnacentral:rRNA from 1 species